rnacentral:rRNA from 1 species
CCUACGGGUCGCAGCAGUGAGGAAUAUUGGUCAAUGGGCUUACGCCUGAACCAGCCAAGUCGCGUGAGGGAAGACUGCCCUAUGGGUUGUAAACCUCUUUUGUCAGGGAGAAACGCCGGCUACGUGUAGCCGGACUGAGAGUACCUGAAGAAAAAGCAUCGGCGAACUCCGUGCCAGCAGCCGCGUUAAUAGGGGGGAUGCGAGCGUUAUCCGGAUUUAUUGGGUUUAAAGGGUGCGUAGUCGGAAUGACAAGUCAGCGGUAAAAUCGCGGGGCUCAACCUCGCGCUGCCGUUGAAACUGGCGUUCUUGAGUGGGCUAGAAGUAUGCGGAAUGCGUGGGGUAGCGGUGAAAUGCAUAGAUAUCACGCAGAACUCCGAUUGCGAAGGCAGCAUACCGGCGCCCAACUGACGCUGAAGCACGAAAGCGUGGGUAUCGAACAGGAUUAGAUACCCGGGUAGUC